rnacentral:rRNA from 1 species
UGGCUCAGAAUCAACGCUGGCGGCGUGCCUAACACAUGCAAGUCGAACGAGAAAGGGUAGCAAUACCUGAGUAAAGUGGCGCACGGGUGAGUAACACGUGACUAACCUACCCUGGAGUGGGGGAUAACUGAGGGAAACCUUAGCUAAUACCGCAUAAUACCCACGGGUCAAAGGAGCAAUUCGCUUCAGGAGGGGGUCGCGGCCGAUUAGUUAGUUGGCGGGGUAAUGGCCCACCAAGACGAUGAUCGGUAUCCGGCCUGAGAGGGCGCGCGGACACACUGGAACUGAAACACGGUCCAGACUCCUACGGGAGGCAGCAGUGGGGAAUUUUGCGCAAUGGGGGAAACCCUGACGCAGCAACGCCGCGUGGAGGAUGAAGUCCUUCGGGACGUAAACUCCUUUCGAUCGGGACGAUUAUGACGGUACCGGAAGAAGAAGCCCCGGCUAACUUCGUGCCAGCAGCCGCGGUAAUACGAGGGGGGCGAGCGUUGUUCGGAAUUAUUGGGCGUAAAGGGUGCGUAGGCGGUUUGGUAAGUCUUGUGUGAAAUCUACAGGCUCAACUUGUAGUCUGCACGGGAAACUGCCGGGCUUGAGUGUGGGAGAGGUGAGUGGAAUUCCUGGUGUAGCGGUGAAAUGCGUAGAUAUCAGGAGGAACACCUGUGGCGAAAGCGGCUCACUGGACCAUAACUGACGCUGAUGCACGAAAGCUAGGGGAGCAAACAGGAUUAGAUACCCUGGUAGUCCUAGCCCUAAACGAUGACUGCUUGGUGUGACGGGUACCCAAUCCCGCCGUGCCGUAGCUAACGCGUUAAGCAGUCCGCCUGGGGAGUACGGUCGCAAGGCUGAAACUCAAAGGAAUUGACGGGGGCCCGCACAAGCGGUGGAGCAUGUGGUUUAAUUCGACGCAACGCGAAGAACCUUACCUGGGCUCGAAAUGUUAUGGACCGGAGUAGAAAUAUUCCUUCCCAGCAAUGGGCCGUAAUAUAGGUGCUGCAUGGCUGUCGUCAGCUCGUGUCGUGAGAUGUUGGGUUAAGUCCCGCAACGAGCGCAACCCUUAUCUUCAGUUGCUACCAUUUAGUUGAGCACUCUGACGAAACCGCCUCGGAUAACGGGGAGGAAGGUGGGGAUGACGUCAAGUCCUCAUGGCCUUUAUGUCCAGGGCUACACACGUGCUACAAUGGUCGGUACAAACCGUCGCAAACCCGCGAGGGGGAGCUAAUCGGAAAAAGCCGACCUCAGUUCGGAUUGCAGUCUGCAACUCGACUGCAUGAAGCUGGAAUCGCUAGUAAUCGCGGAUCAGAAUGCCGCGGUGAAUACGUUCCCGGGCCUUGUACACACCGCCCGUCACAUCACGAAGGUGGGUUGCACUAGAAGCCGGUGAGCUAACCGCAAGGAAGCAGCCGUCCAAGGUGUAAUUCAUGAUUGGGG